rnacentral:rRNA from 1 species
GGGGAAUAUUGGGCAAUGGGCGAAAGCCUGACCCAGCAACGCCGCGUGAGGGAAGAAGGCCUUCGGGUUGUAAACCUCUGUCCUUGGUGACGAAAUAAAUGACGGUAGCCAAGGAGGAAGCCCCGGCUAACUACGUGCCAGCAGCCGCGGUAAUACGAAGGGUGCAAGCGUUAAUCGGAAUUACUGGGCGUAAAGCGCGCGUAGGUGGUUCGUUAAGUUGGAUGUGAAAGCCCCGGGCUCAACCUGGGAACUGCAUCCAAAACUGGCGAGCUAGAGUACCGUAGAGGGUGGUGGAAUUUCCUGUGUAGCGGUGAAAUGCGUAGAUAUAGGAAGGAACACCAGUGGCGAAGGCGACCACCUGGACUGAUACUGACACUGAGGUGCGAAAGCGUGGGGAGCAAACA